UGGGGAAUUUUGGACAAUGGGCGCAAGCCUGAUCCAGCCAUGCCGCGUGCGGGAAGAAGGCCUUCGGGUUGUAAACCGCUUUUGUCAGGGAAGAAAUCUUCUGAGUUAAUACCUCGGGAGGAUGACGGUACCUGAAGAAUAAGCACCGGCUAACUACGUGCCAGCAGCCGCGGUAAUACGUAGGGUGCAAGCGUUAAUCGGAAUUACUGGGCGUAAAGCGUGCGCAGGCGGUUUUGUAAGACAGAGGUGAAAUCCCCGGGCUCAACCUGGGAACUGCCUUUGCGACUGCAAGGCUUGAGUGCGGCAGAGGGGGGAUGGAAUUCCGCGUGUAGCAGUGAAAUGCGUAGAUAUGCGGAGGAACACCGAUGGCGAAGGCAAUCCCCUGGGCCUGCACUGACGCUCAUGCACGAAAGCGUGGGGAGCAAACAGGAUUAGAUAGCCCUGGUAGUCCACGCCCUAAACGAUGUCAACUGGUUGUUGGGAAGGUUCCUUCUCAGUAACGUAGCUAACGCGUGAA
rnacentral:rRNA from 1 species